GGCCGCGGGAAUUCGAUUCAGGCCUAACACAUGCAAGUCGAACGCUGAAACCAGAUGCUUGCAUUUGGUGGAUGAGUGGCGAACGGGUGAGUAACACGUGGGUGAUCUGCCCUGCACUUUGGGAUAAGCCUGGGAAACUGGGUCUAAUACCGAAUAUUCACACCACCGUAGGGGUGGUGUGGAAAGCUUUAUGCGGUGUGGGAUGAGCCUGCGGCCUAUCAGCUUGUUGGUGGGGUAAUGGCCUACCAAGGCGUCGACGGGUAGCCGGCCUGAGAGGGUGUACGGCCACAUUGGGACUGAGACACGGCCCAGACUCCUACGGGAGGCAGCAGUGGGGAAUAUUGCACAAUGGGCAAGAGCCUGAUGCAGCGACGCCGCGUGGGGGAUGACGUCAAAUGGGGUUGUAAACUCCUUUCGCUAGGGACGAAGCCACUUGUGGUGAC
rnacentral:rRNA from 1 species